rnacentral:rRNA from 1 species
CCUAUCAGCUUGUUGGUGGGGUAAUGGCCUACCAAGGCGACGACGGGUAGCCGGCCUGAGAGGGUGACCGGCCACACUGGGACUGAGAUACGGCCCAGACUCCUACGGGAGGCAGCAGUGGGGAAUAUUGCACAAUGGGCGCAAGCCUGAUGCAGCGACGCCGCGUGAGGGAUGACGGCCUUCGGGUUGUAAACCUCUUUCAAUAGGGACGAAGCGCAAGUGACGGUACCUAUAGAAGAAGCACCGGCCAACUACGUGCCAGCAGCCGCGGUAAUACGUAGGGUGCGAGCGUUGUCCGGAAUUACUGGGCGUAAAGAGCUCGUAGGUGGUUUGUCGCGUUGUUCGUGAAAACUCACAGCUUAACUGUGGGCGUGCGGGCGAUACGGGCAGACUAGAGUACUGCAGGGGAGACUGGAAUUCCUGGUGUAGCGGUGGAAUGCGCAGAUAUCAGGAGGAACACCGGUGGCGAAGGCGGGUCUCUGGGCAGUAACUGACGCUGAGGAGCGAAAGCGUGGGGAGCGAACAGGAUUAGAUACCCUGGUAGUCCACGCCGUAAACGGUGGGUACUAGGUGUGG